UACGUAGGGUGCAAGCGUUGUCCGGAAUUAUUGGGCGUAAAGAGCUCGUAGGCGGUCUGUCGCGUCGGCUGUGAAAACCCGCGGCUCAACCUCGGGCCUGCAGUCGAUACGGGCAGACUAGAGUGCGGUAGGGGAGACUGGAAUUCCUGGUGUAGCGGUGAAAUGCGCAGAUAUCAGGAGGAACACCGGUGGCGAAGGCGGGUCUCUGGGCCGUAACUGACGCUGGAGGAGCGAAAAGCGUGGGGAGCGAACAGG
rnacentral:rRNA from 1 species